rnacentral:rRNA from 1 species
GAAUUCGAUUCAGGCCUAACACAUGCCAGUAAAAAAAUAACGCGGGGCAACCUGGCGACGAGUGGACGAACGGGUGAGUAAUGCAUCGGAACGUGCCUGGUAGUGGGGGAUAACUGCUCGAAAGAGCAGCUAAUACCGCAUACGACCUGAGGGUGAAAGGGGGGGAUCGCAAGACCUCUCGCUAUCAGAGCGGCCGAUGUCGGAUUAGCUAGUUGGUGGGGUAAAGGCCCACCAAGGCGACGAUCCGUACCUGGUCUGAGAGGA